rnacentral:rRNA from 1 species
UACGUAGGUGGCAAGCGUUGUCCGGAUUUACUGGGCGUAAAGAGCGCGCAGGCGGUCGUACAAGUCGCGUGUGAAAGCCCCCGGCUCAACUGGGGAGGGUCACGCGAUACUGUUCGACUCGAAGGCAGGAGAGGGAAGCAGAAUUCCCGGUGUAGUGGUGAAAUGCGUAGAUAUCGGGAGGAAUACCAGUGGCGAAGGCGGCUUCCUGGCCUGUUCUUGACGCUGAGGCGCAAAAGCUAGGGUAGCAAACGGG